UUCAACUGCCACCUGGGUGACUGCUGGUAAAGAUGGGAGGUGGCCUUUGCUGCUUUCCAUCUUCUCACUGCAGUUUCUUCACAUGGGCCACUUGUACUUAAAAUGUCUUCUAAAUUUAUGUUUUUUACUUCCCCAGCUCCAAUUGGUCUACAGAUUUACAAAUUUGUUUUGUAGUUUUAUGACUCAAUUUGUAUUUUUGAUCCUAUGAAGUUUUUGCCUCAAAUAUUUUUCUCUGUUUAUAAAAGUGUACUGUUUCCUAGGCCAGUUUUGUACACACUCUUCUAUAGAAUAGAUCCAGAAGAAACACAACAAUACUGCCUUCAUCAUAUCAGGAGAUCCUGAUACCAAAUACGAUUUCAGGGACCACCUGGCAGGGGAGCGGACCAGAGAGACUUCCUCGGAAUAGGCUGUGGCUCUUCACAAGGUGUCUUCUAUGCUUUAUUUGGGAGCCAUUGCCUUGAGCGCUAUUUCCCAGAUGGUUUUCUAAUGUCACCAACUGAAGAAAAGACCCAUGCACAUAGGACACAGCAUGAUCUGAUGCUCACAGCGUUUUCCUUCCUCUCUGAAAACGGACUCAGCGAUACUGGCAAGCAGUACUUACUCUGAGAUCACCCAUUUGCUAAGGAAAAAUCUUAGCAUUGAGAAAGGUGACACUUUCCUCCCUACUUUUGCUGGAGAGACACUUUGGUUAUGAGUUAUUUCUAGCAUAACACAGUUUAUUUCAGAAGUCCAGCUCAAUAGCAGACCAAGGCGUGAACAACACAUGAAAAUUUAUGUUGGGAAAAUAUAUAUUGUAUGUCUGCUUGAACUGUGGGUUCUUGAUUAAUACAAAACUGGUUAAUGAAGGUUGUUACCUUCAGGAAAAUGCAAAUCUAGUGGAGGGACAAAACUCGCAGAAACAGUAUUUCAUCAUAGCCACCAUGAGGCAGUAUAUUAUGAAGCAUGUCAGUGAUGAAUGACUGGCAGGCUGGUCUGUCCUUGAAGCUACACUCUGUUUCUUGCUUCUGUUGCUUCUGCUGUCUCUCUCCUAACAUCUGCAUAUUCCUCCACUUUGUGGUGGAGGAAGCAUUAGGACUGAUACAGGGGAUUUCCAGUGAGUGUAUAAUUCAGUGCAGAAUUGGCAGGAAUAUAUUCCAUGGUUAGGAGCUGGAGAAAGUAAGAAAUAAAAUAGACCUUGAAGAAUGGGUAGGAUUUUCAAAAUCAGAGAUAAAGAAGCAAGAAAGAGAAUUCACUUUUUCAAGUUUCUAAGCAAUCAUAUAUAUAUAUAUAUAUAUACACACACACAUAUAUACUUACAUGCAUAGACAUUUUGCUGGUUUCUGUCUUACUAAUGUAUACUAUACUGUGUCUAAUCACUCUGAGGGCUGGUAUUUCGUGUCUGUUUCAGACACUCAGGAAUCAUUUGUUCAGCUUGUUCUAUAUGCUGGAAACUGUUGCAGGGAUGGAUAUAUGCAGUCCUUGUCCCAAAGCAGCUUAUGACUCCAAGAGCAAGGGAUAGAAUAUGAACAUGUGUCUUAGGGUUACUUCUAGGGGUAAGAAUGAGUUCUGUGGCCAGAUGCCUACAAGAAGUGGGGAGAGGGAAAAUGAGAUGCAAACUAUCCAGGCAGGAGGCAUUGCAGUAAUCAAAGUGAACUAUGAGAGAAGCCUGGGCUGAUGUAAAAAAAAAUAAGCUUUGUCAUAAGUGGAAUCAUCAGAUAAGUCUUAGAAGGCUGUAUUGCAGCCACAGUUCUGAUUGGCUACCAAUCAGAAGAAGAGGGAAAAGAGAAUUAUUCUUGGCUUGAGUACCUGAGUAAAGGAUCUAACCAUUCCCAGACAGGUGGCCCACAAGAGAGAAACAGGUUAGAAGGAAAUACCAUGAGUUGUGUUUUGGUCACGUUAGGUAGAGGACAUUUGAAUGCAGAGUAAGUCAAACUCUUAGGGCAGGGGAGUCAAGAAUGCUCCAUUGCAGUGGUGUCAGCAAAACGGCGGGGAAGGCAGCUCUAAGCUCCCAUCCUUCCACAGGAAUGUUGAAUAAACAACCAGACACUGUCAGAACCAACUUUCUCAGAACUGGGAAAAUAAUCAAAGGUGUACGGCAACCAAAAGAAUGCUGGAUCAACACAAAGGCAACUUAAAAAUGAUAUGAAAGCUGUGUGGCAUUUUUGCUUGUCCCACAAGUCCAGCUUGGUGAUAGUCUUGAAGACAGCAGGCUGGAUUCCCAGGCUGGGACCCUUAUCCCUGGUUCCAGAGAGGAGAGCAGAUCUGAUUCACAAAUGAUUGUGCUUGUCUGUUUUAAUCUUUCCAGAGGCUGCCUGAACAAGGUAUUCAUCAUCUCUGUUUUAUCUGACCCAGAAACCAUUCUGCUAGGAAAAACAGUGGGCAUUGCUUGAAAACAGUGUUCUGUGGUUGAAAAACCCGCAGUCACCUUGGGCUGGUGGGAAUGUAAAAUGGCGCCUCUUCUGGAUCAUCGUUUGGCGAUUUCUCAAAAGGUCAAACAUAGAAUCACUAUUUGAUCCAACAAUUCUACUCCUAGGUAUAUCCCCCAAAAAAUUGAAAACAGGGACGCAAACAUACGCUUGUACACUAAUGUUUAUAGAAAAAAUAUUCACAAUAACCAAAAGGCAGAAACAACCCAAGUGUCCAAUAACAGAAGAAUUAAUAAACAGUGUGAUAUAAACAUAAAUGGAAUAUCUAGCCAUGAAAAGGAAUUAAGUAUUGGUACAUACUGCAACAUGGAUGAAUCUUGAAAACAUUUUGCUAAAUGAAAUGUCAGACACAGAACACAUCUUGAUGCUUUCACUUGUAUUAGGUACCUAGAACAGGCAAUUACAGAGAUAAAAAGUAAAUUAUAGCUUGGGGCUGAAGGAAGGGUGAAAUUAUAAGUUAUUGCUUAAUGGGUACAGAGUUUUAAGUUGAUGAAAUAUUUUGGAGAUAGUUUGUGGCGACGGUUGCAAACCAUGUAAAUGUCAUUAAUACCAUUGAUUUGUGCACUUAAAUGGCUGAAAUUGCAAAUUUUAUACACACAACCCUGACAUAUUGCCAGGAUU